rnacentral:piRNA from 1 species
UUAUGCAUAGGUGACGGCACUGCA